AACAGUAGAUCAAACUUGAUUAAGCCAAUUUUAGAUUAUUAAAGUAUCUAUCAGAGGAAAUUGGCAGAAGUAUUAAUUUUUUCUCAAUUUUUCUUUCAGGUUACUUGCAAUUGCAGUGUCCGUGGCAAAUACGAUUAUUCAUCAACGUUCAUACUAUCCAAGCUGGGCUUUCAUCGGUGGAUCAGUCAAAGAGACUGUCAUAGCCUUUGUGGAAUGCGUUAUGAAUAAUUUAAAGCUGAAGAGGUUAGCGGCUAGCCAAUGGAUGCAAAAAUCUUCACUCAUUCAGUUUCAUCCCAAGGUCCACACUGUAUUUCGAAGCCGGAGUGUACUGGGUGGAGGAUAGCAACGGUGUCCUCGGGAAGAGUCACAUCAAACUUCACCCGAACACCAACUUCGUCUACUUCGAGCCGGGGACCUACAUCAAGGGGGCGCUCGAGUACACGACCGCCAAAGACUUCUUCACCGUCGGCCACGGCGUCCUCUCCGGCGAGAACUACGCCUACCAAGCCAACACGCUCCAGGGCUACGUUUCCAGCAAGGAUGACAAGUCCAGUCUCAGACUUAUCUCGCACCAGGCGGUGAGCGACAACCAGACGUGGACGUGCGUAGGCGUGACGCUCAACGCUCCGCCGUUUAACUCGGUGGACCUCUUCCCGAGAGAGGCGACCAAUCACGAGGAGGACAACAGGGUGAGGAUCCGGGUCGAGGACUACAAGCAGGUCGGGGCUUUCUAUUUCCAGACGGAUGGCUUGCCCGCCUACGGAGGCUCCAUCACCUCCGUCUUCCUCCACGCCAACGACGACGCCCUCAAGCUCUACUACUCCGACGCCCACGUCACCGACGUCGUCGUCUGGAAGGUGCACAACGACCCGGUGAUCCAGCUGGGUUGGAAGCCGCGGAACAUCUCGAACGUGGUGGUGGAGACGGUGGACGUGAUCCACAGCCGGUGGGCGUUCUCGCAGACGGCGGUGCCCUCGGCGAUCAUCGGGGCCUCGCCGUACUACAUGGACCCGAAGCUCGUCGACGCUGGGCGGACCGUCUCGGCGGUGGUGCGGAACCUCCGCUGCGAGGGGAAGUGCGCCGCCCUCCUCCGCAUCGCCCCGAUGAACAACUACGACCUCCGCAUCGAGACGGUGCGCUUCGACGAGCUCCUCGCCGACGACCGCGCCCGGCUCGGCAUGAGCCUCGUCGGCACCAAGAUCAGCGACCACGAGGACGCCUACGUCCAGGGGCAGGAGCUCCUCCGGAUGGGCAUCCACGUCCGGGAUUGGCUCAUCGGCGGCCGGAGGGUCUGCGCCGACAACUGGCGCUCCGAGGAGCUCGGACAGCUCAACUUCAACGUCGGCUUUUGGGGACAGUGGAGCAUCGAUUGAACCUCGCGAGGUUCCAGGUUCUUCGUGAAUACCUCGUCCCGAAAUACAGUAUUCUCUUGCUAUAACGUCACUCAUAUGAACGUAUUUAUGCGAAAAGGAGAUAUGUGCAAGUGGAAAGAUGGGGUGUGCUCGUUAGUUGGGUCAUAAGAAACAAUGUAAAAGUGGAUAUAGUUCCUUUUGAGAAAAUUGAAUAGCGGGAUUUGACAUUAAAUCAAAAGGAGCUAAGCGCCAAAAUAUGCUAACUCAUGAGCCGCGAGCAUGGCAAGAGAGCGUUGUGGACAGGGUCAUGAGUUAAUGCUCGACGACGGCGAUGUCCCGUCGGACCUCCGCUUUUUCAUUGCCGCUGACGUCACUGGCGCUUUAUAUUCCCCAUUCAUUCUUAUGGCCGAACCACUAACGAGCACACCCCAUCUUUCCACUUCCUCAUAUCUCCUUUUCGCAUAAAUACGUCCAUAUUAUAACAAAAAUCUCUCCUUGGCGAAGGUAUCGCCCCUAUGACGACACUCAUUAUAACGAAAAUCUCUCUUUUGCGAAGGAAUCGCCCGUUCCCUUGAACGAUUUUCCGGCUAUAAUGAAAAUCUCUCUUUUGCGAAAUAAUCGCCCGGUCCCUUGAACGAUUUUCCGGCUAUAAUGAAAAUCUCUCUUCUGCGAAGGAAUCGCCCGGUCCCUUGAACGAUUUUCUCGCUAUAACGACACUUAUUACUUCAACAGCUUACGUAGUAGCGAUUCUUGAAUAUUGGCAACACCGGUUUCCGCCAUUUAAAUAUAUGUAAAAUAAUCGAUUGUAUCACUUAUAUCGAUUACAUACAAUCGAUUAUUUUACAUAUAUUUAAAUGGCGGAAAAACGGUGUUGCCAUUAUGCAAGUAUCGCCACUACCUAAGGGUUCCCUCAUCAUUACUACCUUUUAACGAAAUCGUUUCGAUAGCUCACUAGGUAUCGAUAGGACAUCCCUACCGUCUCGUCUGCUCACAAUUGAAUAUUUAAAAAAUAUUCUGAGCACGUUUUCAGGACAGGAGACUUUCUAAGAAUAUUUUCCGAAAAGUUCUCAGAAAAUGCUUUAUUUUUCCUUCUGGAAAAUAAUAAAUUGUUCGUCUGGAUGUUUUGAGCACAUUCGCAGAAAUUAAUGGAUAAACGCGACCGAAUUGGAUGAACAUGUCUACUGCACAUAAUUGAUACAGUCAUCGGAAUAGACAUUCGUAGUUCAAUUUGAAACUACUUCCAACCCAUUUUUUUCCCAAACUCAACUUGUCGCGUAUCUAUGCAACUCAGUCCAACUUUCCGAGAAACCAAAAAAGUUUUCGGCCGAAUAAAACAUGCCUCGUGGUACCUCAGAAUGAUAGUAGGUCACUUUACCCCACGAAAAAGUUGCCUGUUUAUCUUCCAUUCUUCUAUUAAUGUAUUUAUUAAUUAGUUUUAUGACCAAAGCUUUGAAAAUUGCCACCAAAUAAUUCUCAGCUGUCUUCGCACUCUGCGCUGAAGUACUUUUUGACAUGAGCUAUUGAAACUCCAGCUCCGGGUGUAGUUAAUUUGAAAAAAUCAGAAUUUUGUAAUUAACCAUUAGUACCUCAUCAAUAUUGACCCAUACAUGUAACAAUAUCCUUGCCAUGAAGUUGAUUUUUGCAGCAAAGGCUUCCUCAUAUUUUCUUCAACGCUGUAAAAGUUUCAUUUGUUACCUCAUUCUAAUUAAAUAGAGAUGUUAGUACCUAUGGUGUGCAUGAGGUAUCAGUACUUAUUUAUCUCGCGAAAAAUACUCGUGCAACAGCGCAAAAGUACUCGAAAAUUUUUCCAUGACUUACUGUCGGACUGUGUAGGCUACCUUUAAAUCAUGAUUCAUAAAAAUUCUCGGAUUCUUGUACGAGAUGAAAGAAAAUUCUAAACCUAAAAAUAUUCGAAAAUGUCGUCUAGUUUUAUUUUCCACUGCCCUUGACAAUAAGUCAAAUUUCAGGUAAUUUCCGGAAUUUCCAAGAAUUCUCUUCAACUAUGAGAUCACUCUAAAAAUCAACACAUUGUUCUGAAUUUUGACGUUGCAGAAGACAAAAGUAGCGGCAUAGUACCAAAUAAUUAGUUCUCCUCAAAAAUGAUACCUCCAGGCUCCGUCCAUUGGAUCUGCGAAAACUCAUGCCUACCGUACUUAGAAGCGGGUUGAGGUUUAUGACUGAAAGGAAAUUGCUUCCACCAGUCACUUUUUCCGAGAAGAAAAAAAGGAAGCCGAGGUCGUGUCGGGAGCUCAUCAUAAAAUGUCUCUGUUAGUGAUGUCAUGAGACAACGCUUUAGAGGCCCGUUUUGAGGUCACGGGUUUUUACAGUUUUUCUGAGCUCGUCAUGUAUUCUCGUCGCAAAAGUACACAACGAAUAGUCGAUCGAAGUUUGAAAUUAAAUUCCACCUCUUUAUAACACCUCCAAUCGGGUGUAUUAUCCAAAUUGUUAUACUUAAAAUUUUACAGUCGGCAAACGGUUCGAUAGUCUUCGUAAAAAACGUUUACGAAUAAUUUAGUUUGACACACAUUUAGACGUGCAAUUUCGUCCAAUUUAAGAUUAGAUUAUGUAAAUUUCUAACGUGAGCUCUCUAAAUUCCCUGAAACUGGUACAUCCUAAAUGAGUGCCGCUUGGAAUCGCAUUUUAGGUCCAGAUUAAAUACUUUUUUUUCGAGUUUUAAAGUGCCAAAGUCUGUAUUUUUGGGAAAGUUUCUCGCCCUUCAAUAUGACACGGAGUCAGGCAGAAUGGGCCUUAAGGCGGAGGAAAGAGGGUAAUAAUUAACGCAGUUGAGAGAGGUUAACUCUGCAUCAUUUGGCGCAACACCUUAACUCCACAUUGUGACCUCCGUGAGCACAGUUCAAGGAUGAGAACAUAAACGAAGAAUUAGAGAAAAUCUCUCGGAGUGUGCCAGCGAUGUCACUUAGGUUCUGACAUAAUUGAUUUAAAAUUCUAAGUAAUAAAACAUCACUUUAAAUCGAAAAUAUGACUUGAAAUGUCGACCCAAAAUUAGGGAAGCAUUAUAGGAAGCGUUCAUCAUUGCUCUGAGAAAAAUUUCCUGUUGGAUCUAUAGGAAUUCCUGUUAAAUCUGCCUUUCCUCUGACAGGAGUCCCUCGUUGAAACAGCUGGAAAUCUCCUUGUCCCAAACAGUAUUCCAAUUAUUUUCAGGGACGUUCGGUUGCUUUAAAAAGGUUUACGGUUCUUUUUAAGCGAAUUGGCGGAUAAUUGGCGUAUGUAAGAGGACCAUUUUUCUCAGUGUGAGAACUGAAAAUCUACAUUUUUCACCCCUAUCAGGUUUUUCUUUGUACUCAUCAAUUUGAAAUCUCACCCUAAAAAAUUUUGUGUGACCCUAUCAUAAGCAGAAAAAUACUUCAUUUCUCAAAGAAAUUGUGUUGUACUUCUUAUUUCUGGUGUCUAAGAUGAGUCAGCGCCUUUGUGAUAAAAUACUUUUACAUUUUUAUAUAUCUUAGGUUACAUUACGUUUAAGUUUUUUGUGCAUUCCAUUAUGCAGUAAACUUCUGUUAUGAUACAUGCCGGUAAAUAUUUAUUACAUAUGUUUAUUUUUCUGUAAAUAUGAUACGAUUUUCCAAGAUGCAUAUACCUAUCGUGAUCGGAGGCUCAUUUAGACCGUGUUUGGCAAAAAAGGAACCAAUUUAAGCCAGCCACAUCAGCCACUGCUAAAAAUCGGGCAUUUUAAUUUUUUACCAGAGAACGUUUGUGCGGCUUAUUCUUUCGAACAAUUUACGGAAUUUGCUUCGUACUGUGCAGAAAAUUUACUGGAAUUUGCUUACACAUCUGCAUUACCGUUUUUAUUGUAACGAUUAAAUUGCCCAAUUAAAUUUGGCAAUAGCUUACGUGACUUUGUUCCUUUUUGCUUAAUGCAGUCCAUUUUUCACUAUUUAGUCAAGCUCGAUCUCGUCUCAGGAACGGAACCUUUUCACAUGUUCUGAGUAUUAAAUUUGUAGUAGCUAGUUUCUGUUCGCACGUUCGUGUCUUCACUACUCGUUCAAUUUUGAAAUUUUGUCUCGUUUUGAAAAAUGAUUGUUCGUUUUGUCAGAUUUUUGUACAUAAAAACCGUAAAGGUGUCUAUUUGUUUUCAAUUUGGAAAAUAAAACCGGAUGAUUGAGAAUGGCUCUCAAUAUGAGGACACUAUUAUUACGUCACCUUCCCAAUUUCUCAUCAAUCGAAUCGUAGACAUUAAAGAACAGCUGAGCUAACCUCAUAUACGGGCAGGUGCAAAUCGCGCUACGAGAAAGGUCACAGAACAGGGUCAAUCAUCAAGCGGACCAUGCCCCUAGCCACCUACACUGCCGUGCUAAGGAAAAACGCUGUAUGAACCUUCAUGCGUUGCCAAAUUUCCCUUCAUAAAAAGCGAAUUUCCAGGUAAAUAUAUGAAUAUUUCCUCCCAGUUUUUCAGAUAAUUUAGUUCACAAUUUUACCUAUGGAUUCUGAAAAUUUAAAGGAAAAAUAUUCAGAACUUUCCUCAAAAAUGAACAUUUUAUUGAAGGAAAUUUGGCAACUCUCGAAUGUUCAGACGGCGUUUUUCCUUAGGAUGACAGUACAGCCCAGCGUUUACGAAACAGUCGACAACGUUGGGAAGAAGAGAUGUUCAAUUUUUUUUUUUUUUCCACUUGAAAAUAUAGCGAAAAAUUGUCUCUGAUUAAAGGGCAAUUUAUUCCGCUGAUUUUUUUGUUUUUCCAUUUGGAGGAAAAUUUCUCUAUCAUAUUCCUUGGGUGAUUUUUUUUCAUUCCUCCAUCAUUCGAACGUGGUUUUUAUUUUCUAGCCCGAGCCUUCAUUUUCGUCAUCAACGAUAUAGUUAAAUUUUUCUUUGAUUUUUAAAGAUUAGAAAUUUUUCACUCGAAGUGCUUUCCUUCGAAGAAAAGAAAAUGCUUUUCUAAACCAAGACAAUUUUUUUCGCUGAUCUCCAUGAAGGCGUAUCCCCGGAGCAUGG
rnacentral:lncRNA from 1 species